GCCAGGUGUGAUGGUGCAUGCCUAUAGUCCCACCUAUUCAGGAGGCUGAGAUGGGAGGACUGUUUAGCCAAGGAAUUUUUGCUGUAAUAUGCAUGCUAGUUAGGUGUCUGAACUAUGUUUGGCACCAAUGUGGUGACCUCCUGGGAGCAUGGGACCACCAGGUUGCCUAAGAAGGGGUGAAAUGUCCCAGGUUGGAAACGAAGAGGUAAAAACUCCCAUGCUGAUCAGCAGUGGGAUUCUGCCUGUGAAUAGCCACUGCACUCCAGCCUGGGCAACACAGUGAGACCCUGUCUCUU
rnacentral:SRP_RNA from 2 species